AUGGCGCUUCAGCCGCGGUUCUGGAAAUGUCUGUCAGUUUUCAGGAAACUGGAGUGUGGGUUCGCAGCCCUCUCAACCAGUUCCAUGCCGGCCGUAGACUAAGGAUAAGGAAGUGGUGGCCCCUGAGUUCACCAACCGGAACCCUCGGAAUCUGGAGCUCUUAGGGGUAGCUCAGAAAGAACGGGGCUUGGCUACUGUGUGGCCUAACCGGGAGUUCUGGCACAGGUUGCGAGUUGUAAGGACUCAGCAUCACGUAGAAGCAUUUGUUGAGCAUCUUAAUGGCCAGGUUGUUGUUUCAGCAUCCACUGGAGAAUGGGCUAUUAAAAAACACCUUUAUAGUACCAGAAACGUGGUGGCUUGUGAGAGCAUUGGGCGAGUGCUGGCACAGCGGUGCUUAGAAGCAGGAGUCAACUUCAUGUUCUACCAUCCCACCCCGUGGGAGGCGUCCUCAGACUCGAUAAAACGUUUACAAAAUGCCAUGACAGAAAGUGGCGUGAUGUUUCGGGAGCCUCGAAAAAUCUAUGAAUGA
rnacentral:lncRNA from 1 species